rnacentral:rRNA from 1 species
UACGAAGGGUGCGAGCGUUAAUCGGAAUUACUGGGCGUAAAGCGCGUGUAGGCGGUUGGUUAAGUCAGAUGUGAAAGCCCCGGGCUCAACCUGGGAAUGGCAUUUGAUACUGGCUAACUAGAAUGUGGUAGAGGGAGGCGGAAUUCCCGGUGUAGCGGUGAAAUGCGUAGAGAUCGGGAAGAACACCAAUGGCGAAGGCAGCCUCCUGGGCCAACAUUGACGCUGAGACGCGAAAGCGUGGGGAGCAAACAGG